ensembl:snRNA U6 U6 spliceosomal RNA
GUGCUUGCUUCAGCAGCACAUAUACUAAAAUUGAAACCAUACAGAGAAGAUUAACAUGGACCCUGCACAAGGAUGACAUGCAAAUUCAUGAAGGGUUCUGUUAUUUU